rnacentral:rRNA from 1 species
CCUACGGGGGGCAGCAGUGAGGAAUAUUGGUCAAUGGACGAGAGUCUGAACCAGCCAAGUAGCGUGAAGGAUGACUGCCCUAUGGGUUGUAAACUUCUUUUAUAUGGGAAUAAAAUGUUCCACGUGUGGGAUUUUGUAUGUACCAUAUGAAUAAGGAUCGGCUAACUCCGUGCCAGCAGCCGCGGUAAUACGGAGGAUCCGAGCGUUAUCCGGAUUUAUUGGGUUUAAAGGGAGCGUAGGUGGAUUGUUAAGUCAGUUGUGAAAGUUUGCGGCUCAACCGUAAAAUUGCAGUUGAAACUGGCAGUCUUGAGUACAGUAGAGGUGGGCGGAAGUCGGGGUGUAGCGGUGAAAUGCUUAGAUAUCACGAAGAACUCCGAUUGCGAAGGCAGUUCACUGGACUGCAACUGACACUGAGGCUCGAAAGUGUGGGUAUCAAACAGGAUUAGAUACCCUGGUAGUC